UAGGGAAUCUUCCACAAUGGACGCAAGUCUGAUGGAGCAACGCCGCGUGAGUGAAGAAGGUCUUCGGAUCGGAAAACUCUGUUGUUAGAGAAGAACACGAGUGAGAGUAACUGUUCAUUCGAUGACGGUAUCUAACCAGCAAGUCACGGCUAACUACGUGCCAA
rnacentral:rRNA from 1 species